AGAACAUACAAGUGUCAUUAUAAGGCUGUAAUGCCAUUUUCAAUGUAAUCUAGUAAUUGGGCUUUGAAUUUCUCGCUUCCUGGAAUUACAAGUCUUUGAAUAAAAGUUUCUUGGUGAUUAUCCCGCUUGCUACCCUUUAUUAGGAUAUACAAUAAGCGUAUUGAUCCACCGACUAACGCAGAGUCUCUGUAGGAUUAAAUUUUUUUAUACUUGAAAGAAAUAAGCGAUGGAUUGAAAUACGACAAGGGCUUGCGGUUAGACCAAGAUGGAUGGUCCGGCCAUAUAAAAAUGGCCAAAAUGAGUGAUUCUUCGCGGCGCGAGCGCGAUGGAUGGGUACAGUGGGUGAUAGCUGAGCAGCCGCUUUGUCUGUCUCUGCCCGCUGAGGGACAGACCUUCCUUGGAAAGGUGGGGCCGACAGGCAUUAGUAGUAGUACCAGUACCGGAAGCAAACCAGAAUAUGCUUUUGCUUUGGUCUAUUAGGCUUCUCUCUUUCAUCGGGCUCUGUUCUCUAUCUACAUACAUCUCAAAAGCUAUGGAGCUUUUUCACGAGCUUUUCCUAACCGUUGCGAUUUCGGUUAUCUUUUCCUUUGUUCUAUCAAAGAUCCUUUCAUCGGCGGCAGGUGGUGGUGUUCAGGACGAUGCCCUUUUGGGAUCAUGCAAGGAUGGGGAGAGUGAGAGAGGAGGGAGGUUUGUUGGAGUGGGUUCGGGACUGGAGAUAUGUGAAGGCGAAUCGGUUUUGGCAAAAUUGGAGGUUCAGGAGGUUUUAAAUGAUGUGGAUGUGGAUGUUGGAUUGGAAGAGAGAUUGAUGGAAGGAGGUUCUGGCGAAAAGACGGUGGAGGUCGGUGGGAUUGUGGCUGACUUGGUUGAAGAAUGUGCUGAGGAUGGAGGCUUGGAGAAGAGGGAAGCGGUUGAAGAUGAUGCGGCUGUUGGAUUGGAAAAGAGAUUGAUGGAAGGAGGUUAUGGUGAAAAGACGGUGGAGGUCGGUGAGAUUGCGGCUGACUUGGUUGAAGAAUGUGUUGAGGAUGAAGUUCGUUCGGAGAAGAGGGAAGCGGUUGAAGAUGAUGUGGCUAUUGGAUUGGAAAAGAGAUUGAUGAAAGAAGGUUGUGGUGAAAAGACGGUGGAGGCCUGUGAUGGAGUCGGUGGGUUUGAGGCUGACUUGGUUGAAGAAUUUGCUGAGGAUGAAUGGAAUUCAGAGAAACGUGAAGCGGUUGAAGAAGAUGCGGUUGUUGGAUUGGAAGAGAAAUUGAUGAAAGGAGAUUGUGGCGAAGAGACGGUGGAGGUCUCUGAUGGGGUCAGUGGGGUUGAGGCUGACUUGGUUGAUGAUGAAGGGUGUUCGGAGAAGAUUGAAGCGGUUGUUGGAUUGGAAGAGACAUUGACGAAAGGAGAUUGUGGUGAAGAGACUGUGGAGGUCUGUGAUAGAGUCAAUGAGGUUGAGGCUAAAUUGGUUGACGAAUGUGUUGACGACGAAGGGAAUUCAGAGAAAAGUGAAGCGGUUGGUUUGGACUGUGAAGGCCAGAAUGAGGUAGGUGAUGAGAGGGGAGAGUUUUUUGAUGAUGAUUGGGAGGGGAUUCAGAGAAGUGAAUUGGACAGGGCUUUUGGGGCUGCUGCGGCAUUUGUGGGUUCGGAGAAAAAUGCUAAUCACAUCUUGAAUCUUAACAGUGAUGUAAAGAUGCACCUGUACGGGCUUCACAAGGUUGCCAUCGAAGGACCUUGCCGGGAGCCUCCACCUAUGGCAUUGAAGAUUUCCGCUCGUGCCAAGUGGAAUGCUUGGCAGCGGCUUGGGAACAUGAGUCCAGAGGCAGCUAUGGAGCAAUAUGUUGCCCUUCUUUCGAGGGACAUUCCAGGGUGGUCAGUGGACGAUCCUCUUGAGGCAGUAAACAUAUUUGUUCAGAUGCAGGAGCAUCGGGGAAGCUAGCUUCUGAGUAAAAACAUUGCUACAGGAAUAAUCCAUCACUGAAAUGAGAGGACAAACAGUGAGAUGCAUUUCUUUGCUGCUUCCUCUCUACACUACAUGGACUACAUCUGCCUUCCCUUCACUGAAAAUGCAACUAUCCCCAUUGCCAAGGGUUUGGACUUCACUUCUCGGAUUAGAAGCUUCACUUCUCAUUAUGACCAAGUAUAUAUAUGACUAUCUGUUGUGUGUAAAUAAAUUAGUGAUAUAUAUGGAGUGUCAUUUAUAUGUAUGGGUUUGACUAAUAUUGUAUUUGAUAUUAGUCUUGUAACAUAUAUAGUUUUUCUUUCUUGAUUUUCAAGAAAAUGAGGAAAGGAAAGAAGAAUUUGUAAUUUUACAUCUUCCAUGCAACAGGAGCUACCCAUUAGUGGCUGGACCCGCCCUUUUAUCUC